GACGAACGCUGGCGGCGUGCUUAACACAUGCAAGUCGAACGGUGAAGGGACUGGUUUUGCUGGUCCUGGAUGAGUGGCGAACGGGUGAGUAACACGUGAGUAACCUGCCCCCUUCUUCUGGAUAACCGCAUGAAAGUGUGGCUAAUACGGGAUAUUCUGGGUCUGUCGCAUGGUGGGCCUGGGAAAGAUUGCGCCUUUUUUGGUGUUUUUGGUGGGGGAUGGGCUCGCGGCCUAUCAGCUUGUUGGUGGGGUGAUGGCCUACCAAGGCGGUGACGGGUAGCCGGCCUGAGAGGGUGGACGGUCACACUGGGACUGAGACACGGCCCAGACUCCUACGGGAGGCAGCAGUGGGGAAUAUUGCACAAUGGGCGCAAGCCUGAUGCAGCGACGCCGCGUGAGGGAUGGAGGCCUUCGGGUUGUGAACCUCUUUCGCCAGUGAAGCAGGCCUGCCUCUUUUUGUGGGUGGGUUGACGGUAGCUGGAUAAGAAGCGCCGGCUAACUACGUA
rnacentral:rRNA from 1 species